GUCCUUGUUUCAAGGGCAUACGCUAACACUGGAUCGAUACAGAGAAGAUUAGCAUGGGCCCAGUGAAAGGAUGACAUGCUAAUCUGUAAAUCGUUCCUCUUUUUG